AUCGAUAAUACCUACCCUCAGUAAUCAUCAGGGACAAGCAAGGUCAAUGAGCUCUCUCUUCUUAAAAUUACUAAUUUCUUCAUGUUCCAAUAUGAAUUAGGUUUGAAACUGAGAGUAACCAAGAGCGCCAAGGGAUAUUAAAGUUUUCGUAUCUGCAUAGAAUAUACAAACGAAGAUUAUGUUAUAUGUAUAGGAUACGUUCAGCAUUAUCGUUUCAGUAUGCCUUAUAAAAACCUCGUUGGAUUAAAAACGGUUAAAUACAAAUAAUCAGUCACUUUUGUGAACUUUACGUAAUUCAGUCAACUUGAAUAGAUGCUAAAUGCGGUUGUUUUAUAUCAAAUUGAUACCCGUUGAUCCACAGAUGGGUUGUUAUUACUUCAUGGAAGAAAAUAGACAUGCGGAGAACCAGUGAGUUAGGCACAGAAAUCUUUGCGUAUCACUUUUACUUUUCCAUCCGUCCAGUAAUUCGUGUUUCGAGGGAUGACGAGUGCGGUUGAUUGUCUCUAGUUAACAGCUGUCAUAUGUUAAAAAAAAUACUAUGUUUUUACGGAACUCUAGUAGUGCUCUUUUGAUUAAUAUCGGUCUUGAUAAGAGACGCUUACUUCCCAUGUAGCACUUUGCCACAGGUUCUCUGAAAACAUCAUGUUAGGUUUGAUUAUCGGAUUGUCUUGACUGAUCGAAACCAGAGGUUUUUCGCUGCAUAAAGCUGCUAUUGUUUUUGUUCAUGCUAACAGGAAUUGUUUGUAUGAGACGUACUUAUAAACAACUGAUUGGUUGAAAAAUACGUAAGGGUUGGGCAAACAUGGCCUCAGCGAUACUUUGAACUGAAAAACGGACUUUGUUACCAGGAAGUAAAAAAAAAAAAGAGAAAUAUAUACUCCUGUUAAUAAUCUGGAUCAUUUACGAGAGACCAAAUUUAUUGGUGGAAUAAUGACACCAGUAUGUAUAUCACAUUAGUUUCACAGACACGUUACAGGAGCCGUAAAGUCGAUACGAAAUGUUAAUGAAAAAAAGUUCACUUGCUCGCCUAUUUACUAAUUCGUAUGGCCGUGGAUAAAGUAAUUUCACAUAGAACCUGGUGUACUAUUUUCUCCUAUGAUCUAACGAACUUGAUAUUAUGCUUGAGACUGUCGCCAAGUAAUUAUGUAACUUCAUAAAAAUAAGGUUACACACACCCUAGUGAAUGAUAUUCGAAUAUUGGAACUCAAAAUCUGUACUAUUUAAGAGCAGAGAUAAGGAGGUUCGCAAACUAUUGUCUAUGAAGUCAAAAGGAAUCGUCGCACAAAACAAGGGCAACAAUCUAAUCAUAUGGAGAAUGACUAAGAUUCUAUAUAUUUUCAUUCUGACUGAAAAAACCAACCACUAAAAAGAACAAUUAAUACAACAGUGAUUAACGCAAAAAUAUUAAAAAGCUAACAGGUACCGCCAAUAAUGUGAUAGGUUUCUUCCUUUUUUUUGUGAGCGGUCUUUAUUACACUGCUUAUUGCGUAACGUAAAUACCACAAACGUUGCGACAACAUAUUUUAGCAAUAUGAUUUAAGAUUACUAUUUGUCUAGCAAUGGCUUGUACCACGUAUUUCGUACACGUAAAGGGCCCACUUAUGGUGGGGUAUGCACAGGAAGUUUACGUCAUCAAAUUUGGGUUAUAUUCGGUUGAUUCUUCAGCGCCAGCCUAUAAACAGGUUCACAGAGGUUAAUCAUUUGCUGACGCGCAGACGGCCUGUAUUUGUUUUAUUCCCUAUGUAAGCUGGUUGUUUCUAAGUCGCACCCAUAGUAUGUGUAGCAUAUGUAUGGUCUGUUCAAAGAUAUAUUAAGGUGACACUUAACCACGGUAUGGGAGUGAGGUACGGGACAAAGCCCCUUUUGGACAGCGAACAUAUUUAGUUAGAAUAGAUUAUUUAGUAAAAAAAAGUUUGAAGUUAUAAAACUAAGUAUCAAUUCUGUGGAGCUGUAAUGAUUUUAGCUAUCGUUUAAAAUCACUAGGUUUUGGAGCCAUUAUUGUUUGAUAAUAGGGCUUACCUUCCAAUAGUCGUUAUCUGCGUGUCUUGCUAUGUAUGAAUAACGGAAAUCUAAUUAUCGUUCCCACCUCUAAUCAAACGACGAUCAAAGUCUACUUUUUUUUUUGUAAUGUAUACUUACCUUCUACCCACCUAGGUGCUGAUCUCAUUGAGCUUGUCUUUUUAAAUUUCUCUUCAACCCGCUGCCUGCACAUAUAUUCUAAUAGCUGUUUUUUUCCAGAUGAAGCGGCGGUUUCCAAAAAAAAAAUUAAUGUCUUGGCUUUCUUUUCUUGAACUAGAUUAUGAGCAAAAAUCUUCGACUGACAAACACAAUAAAUUUCUUGUCACUAACACAGUCGGUAAAAUAGAGUCUGGUUCGAUUUAUAUUGGAGCAUUCGUUAAAAAAGUCAAACUAUUAGAGUUAAAAUAGGGAUAGCAAACCAUUCGCCGUCAGCCAACAUCUCCAAUCACCUCCAACGCCGGUCAGCAUUAGAAACACAGAGAAAAACGAAAAAAAAAGGAACUUUCAGAAAAGAAAAAACACUGAAGCAAAAUUGCCUGACAGGGUAAAAAGAUAAAAGAAGGCCAUCUUGUAAAUAAAACCGUCUUGGACGGUUUUAUAGAUGAUGCGCGUGUUCUUUUCAUUAUGCCUGGCUAAAUGCUAAACUCCAGUCACUUACAGAACGUAUGUCUGUGAGAUAAUGCUCUAACUAUUGAGCUUAAGAUCAAAGCGUUGCAGUACAGUAACGUUUGAUCGCUACUACAAGCGGCCCGUUGUAGGAGAUAAGCUAAACUCAAAUGCGCGAUUAUGUUAUCGUUUGCCUAAUUUUUUUCAUCCUUUCGUUUAUAGGACGAGCAUUACCUGUCAAAAACCCCAUCGAAAUCAUUGAGCAUAGAUCACAAGCCUCACAUACGACAUCAGCAGUAGAAAGCUGGCUUACCCAAACCUAUGCUCAUUUACUUAUAUCUUUACAUACUUAGUCAUAUAACUUGCUACGCCAAUUUCGGUAUUACUAGAACAUUUCUAUAUUGCACGUGUUUUGCCUUCUAAACUACUUGUUGUGAAUCACUUAUCACACAACGGCAAUUUAUAUUCUGCCAACACAUAUCAGUGGAAGGCGAAGAAAAUAUUAUUGUAAAAACGCCUACAAAACGUUAAUACAAGGGUCAUAUAGUCACUGUCAAUCAAGCAUUCUCUCCAAUUAACAAUGACACUUUUUUUUAUUAUCCUCCCUUUAAUCAACGCACACUAUCGAUUUACGCGCUUGGAAUAAGGCGGACUAAGGUCUUACGCAGUAUACACUAAACGAAGGAUUCUACCGGGACUACAAAGUGCUUAUGCGGCGUCGCUGGCCCCACCACUCCGCUUAACCGUAACGGUGGCUAAAAACAGCUAGCUCACUGCCUAUUUGUCUGAGCCGAUGCGUUCAAAAUAAACGACUGAGCAGAUAUUUGGCGAUCCAUUGAUGUAGUUAGCAGAAAACCACAGAGUACCGUCCUACACUCUACGCUGUUCAUGCACUUGUCUACUGUUGUUGCCGUUGUUGUUCCCGUUGCUACAUUGUCGCGCUAGCUGUAGCAACAGUCGUGAUCGUAGCGUUCCCUUCCCUAAGGAUUUCUGUCUUCUUGACAGUUGGCAACACUGCACCAGUUUGGAACCCUAACAACAGACAAACGACGAUACCGUCCAGGAACGGUAUAAUAUAAUGCCUAAUGUUGAUAGUCGCUAUUACCAUAAUACGAGGUCGGUCUAUUCGUUGGACUGUCAUCAAAAACUACUGCAACUACAUGUUGUUUAGAGAACAGCUUGUGCGCUGACAUUAACAAUGGGGAAACCGGGAAUGCCAGAUGAACCUGUAGGAAAGCAAUAAAAGUUUUCUUUCACUCAGCCGUUAUUUAUGUUAUCUAGGCGUUCCGGAUCAAAGAGUUUGAACAACUUCAUCAAAAAAUGGAAAAGUUGACUGAAGAUUAGGCUUUCUUCUCAUACAACUCGUUUCGAAACGGCCGCGGCUCGUUCAUUGUGUUGAUCAAAUGGCCCUAGUAGAUAAAUAGAGCGACACGUACGAUAUGGAAAGUUUGACACUUCUGAAGACCAUCUAUUCAGGUGGUGUCACUGCAUCGCGUACGUGUGUUGAUCUGGCCAGCGGAAAAACUAUGCCAGUUUAUGUCUGUGUAAACAAUGCCUUUCGAAAAUAACACGGCAGUACUUCGAAUUUUCGGACUGUCGUUCGGGUCGGAAUGCAGCGCGGGAGAAGAAAUAUUAUUCAAUCCACGGCUUCACUGCUGGUUAGCCUGUGAGAAGUCCGCUUCUCGACACCUAAAGACAUCCGUAUUUUCCUGGCUAAUUAUUUCCGCACUCUCCAAAAUGUCUAGGCUCUCUUACCACUUCAUUACAAAUCACUAAGUAUCGACAUUGUGCCUGUAUGAAAAAGGUAUUAGACGAAGCUGCGCACAAAUGGUAAUAUUGUUUAUUACAUCGAGAUUUCAGAGAGUCAAUAGCGUAUCUUCAAGAUAAUUGCUAUAGGUAGAUGUCCUCGAAAGACGAAAGCCACAAUUGGUGUUGAUCUUCGCGAAAGGAUUGUCGAGGUGGAUGACGAGUGUAUCACGAUUGAUGAGAACAAGCAUAUGGCAACUAAAUAAAUGUCUGCUCCCCCAGCUGCAGUUAUGGGGACACGGCUGGACAAGAACGAUUCCGAAGAAGUAUGUUCAACGUUACUACCGGUGGCAGUGAGCACAAACGCGGUCUAGCGCUUUGCCGAUCAACACAGCAUGCCACUAUUUGAAGCCUCUGCAAAGGAUGACCCUCAGAGCGAUCAUCUGGAAAGUUUCAUGACCCUUGUACACAAGCUUAAGAACUCAAAACCCAUGAUGUCCAUUCAGAAUUCAGGCACAGAGGUUCCCGGUGAAGUUCAACCUAAAUCGACGAAAGAUGGAGCACAAAUGGUUACUUUCCAGCUGCUACGCUUCUUUCCCGCAGUCAAGCAGGACAAUCCGAUAUAAUAACAUAUCCGAUAUCCGGAUCUUCGCGUGUGAAAUUUACUAGUCUUCCCUGCAGUAGUUAAAAUUUCUACAUAUAUCAUUGACACCCGAUCAUGAUUCUCUGUUCCGAAAAAGCAACGUAGUAUAGCACUGAAAACAGUGUGUGGCAACGAUAGGACCAAUGAACAUUGUAUACUAACUUCGUCAAUGUAAUGCAAAUUGCCUUUACGGCCCUGGUUUCUUUACAAUUACAAUAAAACUAUUUUUAUAGUUUUCAUCUGCACCGUUCAAACGAA